rnacentral:pre_miRNA from 1 species
UUUGUACUCCCUCCAUCCCAAAAUUCUUGUCUUAAAUUUGUCUAAAUACAAAUGUAUCUAGUUACAUUUUAGUGUUAGAUACAUCCAUAUCUAAACAAAUGUAAGACAAGAAUUUUGGGACGGAGGGAAUACUAC